CUCUGUCUUUUUUCUGCGCUCUGAUCUCCUUCUCCUGCGCUGGGCGCUGCUCCGUCUCCGCAUCCAUCGUGGCCUGGAUCAUUUCUCGUGCGCGCUGCUUUAUUUCCGCAUCCAAGUAAUGGUCUUUAUAACGCGGAUAAAGUACAGUCGCGAUUAAGUGCAGAGGAUCCGAAUAGAUCUCAUUGUGAAACGUGUGCUGACAGACUUUAAGAGUGUACUUUUCUUUGUUUUCACUCCGUGGUCCGUCUCAACCUCUUUGCUUAUGAGACGCUUUUGUGCUGCGAUUAACGUCCGCUAUGAUGCAUCAGAGGAGCUGACCUCUUUAGUUAGCUGCUCAAGGGGGGCAAGAAGAGAGAGAAUGUUCUCUAUUAAGACCCACUGUUUUGAAGUGAAUGUCGCGACGCGAGGAGCUCGUGGUCUGCGCUAUGCAGGUGCACGUGCAGGUCGCGGUUUCUGUUUGAGUCAUCACAACAUUUCGGCCGUAUUUUUUCGGUGAUAAAAGUCUUUUGGCCGAAAACCGAAAAUGCACUUUUGGGCCAUUUUCGGCCGAAAAUUUUCGGUGGCCGUAUAUUCGGUGCAUCCCUACCUAGUGGUAAACAAUAAUAGCACGAUGAAUCACAUAUUGGCAGUUGGAGUUUUAAUGUGUGCUGAAAAAAGUAGAAGUGUCAAAAGAGGAAGGAAUAAGAGCCUGAGGUGUCCCACCAACAAAACGGUGUGCCAUGCUCCAUCCUAAUGUCCUCUUUCAAGUGUUUUUGCUGUCGAUGCAUGGGGUAGAAGAUUGUGCCGUAUAGAAGACUGGGAUCCAUGAAAGCACACAGAAGUUCAAACGACAGGUGGGUAGACGGUCUUACCUCUGUGCCUCCUACGAAUCCAUUUGCGGAGCCCUUAAAGACCUCUUUGGAGAGCGGGUUGCUGUGGAUACGGUUAACUCAGUUGACGAAAGUUUGUGAUGACAGCUGCACCCUCCAAUGCCACUGGAAAAAAUCAAGCUUUUGUUUUGUCAGACUAGCUCUAUUUAAAAGGUUGAUUGAAGCAUCAAAUGUAAAAGGGGGUUGAUAUUGCGUAACAUUUAUUAAAAUAAAUUUGAAGGCCAUUCAGUUUAAGUAGCUUAAAAUGUUAGAAAGCAAGAACUUACAAUGACAAGUUUGGUGGUGAGGUUGCACAUCAUGAUGACAAAAAUAUGUUUUAUUCAGAAAUAACAUGUUUUAGCUCUAUAUAGUGUUUUUGAAGGCAAUUUUUUUUUCAACAGCAGUGUUAUAGUAAAAAAAACAACAAUAAA